rnacentral:sRNA from 1 species
GGGCAGCCUAAGCCUGAUAGAGGC